rnacentral:lncRNA from 1 species
GUGGACCUUUGUUGCUCAGGAUGCAGGAGAAGGAAGGAGGGUUGCAGACACAAUCUCCUGGUCAUUCAACCCAAGAUUCUACACCUUAAAAAAAGAACAGAGUGAAAUCUGAAGCUGGGCUGGGAAAAAGGUACAGGAAGUGAGUGUCCCCAACAGUGUCACCAACAAUGGGUGCCUUGGCCUUGGAAGACUCUAACAAUAACUGAAUGCUCAGCAGUUCCUGGAUGCUAGCCCAGCUCCCCUUCUCCCUGGAAGACUCUGAAAUUCUGUGAUGAGAACCUGAUGUAUUAAUACGGAUCUUUUAGGACUGAGGAAUGCAGAAACAAUAGAAUGAAGAACCAACCUGGAGAAUGUGGUGACUGUAAACUAAAGAAGAGCGACAUCGAGGGCAGGAAUUGCAGGGACAGAGAGACUGCACAGACCCAAGCAAGAUAUAUUGGUCUUGAAGUUGAAGACAGAGGUAGAAUGUGGUUCUCCUUAGAGAUUGUCAGAAAGAUCAGUUGGUUCUCAGUCUUGGGGGAUUAGGAACAAUUCUGCCUGAGGCAGAGGGUUGGAGCAGAUGACCUUUCAAGAUUCCUUGUCUCCUGAUGAUGCUGAGAAGACAUUUCUCAUCGCCUUGACAGUCCUGGAAUGUCUUUUCUUAAUGGGGAAUUUAUCUGCAGGAUUCAAUUUAACUGUUGCAUUUGUAUUUUGUUCAUGCACCUGCCCUGGGGCAAU